UUGGGUCAUGUUACUGCUAGAUGUCCUCAAGCUAUCUGCGUUAGAUGUAAGAAGAAGGGGCAUCUUGCCUUUGUUUGUUCUGAAUUUCUUCCCUGGGAAUAUGUGCCUGCGAGGUGUGCUUUUCAAGCCAAGGGACAGGGGUUUCAUUACAUCCCUGAUUUUAGUGUGGAUAGGUAGGCCAGAGAGAACAUUCUCAAUAUUGUUGUGACAAUUGUGGAGGGAUCUGCUCUUACUAAGGAUAUUGAACACGAGCUUAGUGUGUAUGUAGGGCAAGGGUGGUGUUGCUCUGCUAAGUUUUUUGCACCUCAGAAAUUUGUGAUGAGGAUGCCUAAUCCUAGGGAAGUAGAUAGGGCUCUGUUUGUGGAGAAUGUCAGGCUGAAACAAUGCAAUGCCAGUGUCAGGUUCUCCCCCUGGUCUGAGGACAUUGAUUCUGAUGGAUUAUUGGAGGUCGCGUGGGUUAGGAUUGGGAGAAUCCCUCCUAACAAAAAAUGUGAUAAGACUGUUGCUUAUGUUGGGGGCCUGGUGGGAAUCACUUUGGAGGUGGAUAUGUCUACCAUUAAUCGUCCUUCUUCGGUUCGAGCCAAGAUUGGUUGUAGGAUGGUGGACAAAAUUCCCAGCUCAGCUGAGGGGGUGCUGGGGGUCGUUUUUACAAAUUUACUUAUGAGGUUGAAGAGAUUCUGGUCAAAAACCCUGUUGCGGAGGAUGCUAAUGCUCAUAUCCUUGGCACCGAACCUGCUAAGCAUGACCAAACUCCAAAAAGGAAAAGAGAUUACCCGAAAGAAAGUGACGGUCGCUCAGAUUCUCCUGAUCAUGGUAAAGGUGGUACUUCUCAUGUUGGUAAAACCUGUCGUUUGCUACCAGUAG
rnacentral:rRNA from 1 species